GUUUGAUUCAGGAGUCAAGAUAAGGACCUUAAGUAAGAUCAUUGAGUGAUUGGGGUCCAGCUGUCAAGAAAGAGCAAUUUGAGUCAAUGGAGGACCGAUGAGCUAAUAAGCUCCAUAGAUGUGGCAAAGGUAUGAUCUAGCAUUUAAUUAUGUAGAACUAGAUAGAAUGGUUUAGGGGAAUGGAACCUGAGAAUCGUAUGGCUUGGUUUG
rnacentral:lncRNA from 1 species